rnacentral:rRNA from 1 species
GACGAACGCUGGCGGCGCGCUUAACACAUGCAAGUCGAACGUGAAGCCGGGGCUUGCCCCGGUGGAAAGUGGCGAACGGGUGCGUAACACGUGAGCAACCUGCCCCGAAGACUGGGAUAACACCGGGAAACCGGUGCUAAUACCGGAUGCCCUCUUCUGAUCGCAUGGUCGGAUGAGGAAAUGGAUUCCGCUUCGGGAUGGGCUCGCGGCCUAUCAGCUUGUUGGUGAGGUAACGGCCCACCAAGGCGACGACGGGUAGCUGGUCUGAGAGGACGACCAGCCACACUGGGACUGAGACACGGCCCAGACUCCUACGGGAGGCAGCAGUGGGGAAUCUUGCUCAAUGGGCGAAAGCCUGAAGCAGCGACGCCGCGUGCGGGAUGAAGCCCUCGGGUUGUAAACCGCUUUCAGCAGGGACGAAAUUGACGGUACCUGCAGAAGAA